UACAGAGGUGGCAAGCGUUGUUCGGAAUUACUGGGCGUAAAGGGCGCGUAGGCGGCCCGUCAAGUCCCGUGUGAAAGCCCCCGGCUCAACCGGGGAACGGCGCGGGAAACUAGCAGGCUUGAGUUCGGGAGAGGGAAGCGGAAUUCCGGGUGUAGCGGUGAAAUGCGCAGAUACCCGGAGGAACACCGGUGGCGAAGGCGGCUUCCUGGACCGACACUGACGCUGAGGCGCGAAAGCGUGGGGAGCAAACAGG
rnacentral:rRNA from 1 species